UACAGAGGGGGCAAGCGUUAUUCGGAAUUAUUGGGCGUAAAGGGCGCGUAGGCGGCUUUGCAAGUGACGGGUGAAAGCCCUCGGCUUAGCCGAGGAACUGCCUGUCAGACUGUGAGGCUUGAGACCGGGAGAGGUGAGUGGAAUUCCCAGUGUAGCGGUGAAAUGCGUAGAUAUUGGGAGGAACACCAGUGGCGAAGGCGGCUCACUGGACCGGAACUGACGCUGAGGCGCGAAAGCGUGGGGAGCAAACAGG
rnacentral:rRNA from 1 species